rnacentral:rRNA from 1 species
UACGGGGGGGGCAAGCGUUGUUCGGAAUUACCGGGCGUAAAGGGCGCGUAGGCGGCCUUCUAAGUCGAACGUGAAAUCCCCGGGCUCAACCCGGGAACUGCGUCCGAUACUGGAAGGCUUGAAUCCGGGAGAGGGAUGCGGAAUUCCAGGUGUAGCGGUGAAAUGCGUAGAUAUCAGGAGGAACACCGGUGGCGAAGGCGGUUCUCUGGGCAUGACCUGACGCUGAGGAGCGAAAGCAUGGGGAGCGAACAGG